rnacentral:rRNA from 1 species
CAGUAGCCGCGGGAAUACAGAGGGUGCGAGCGUUAAUCGGAUUUACUGGGCGUAAAGCGUGCGUAGGCGGCUAAUUGAGUCGGAUGUGAAAUCCCCGAGCUUAACUUGGGAAUUGCAUUCGAUACUGGUUAGCUAGAGUGUGGGAGAGGAUGGUAGAAUUCCAGGUGUAGCGGUGAAAUGCGUAGAGAUCUGGAGGAAUACCGAUGGCGAAGGCAGCCAUCUGGCCUAACACUGACGCUGAGGUACGAAAGCAUGGGGAGCAAACAGGAUUAGAUACCCCCGUAGUCCCUGUCUCUUAUAA